rnacentral:rRNA from 1 species
UACGGGGGGGCAAGCGUUGUUCGGAAUUACUGGGCGUAAAGGGCUCGUAGGCGGCCAACUAAGUCAGACGUGAAAUCCCUCGCUUAACCGGGAACUGCGUCUGAUACUGGAUGGCUUGAGAUCGGGAGAGGGAUGCGGAAUUCCAGGUGUAGCGGUGAAAUGCGUAGAUAUCUGGAGGAACACCGGUGGCGAAGGCGGCAUCCUUGGAC